GGUCAAGCGAACAAGUGCAUGUGGUGGAUGCCUUGGCGAUCACAGGCGAUGAAGGACGCGGUAGCCUGCGAAAAGCCCCGGGGAGCUGGCAAACAAGCUUUGAUCCGGGGAUGUCCGAAUGGGGAAACCCACUCCUUUUGGAGUAUCCAUAGCUGAAUACAUAGGCUAUGUGAAGCGAACGCGGUGAACUGAAACAUCUAAGUAACCGCAGGAAAAGAAAUCAACCGAGAUUCCCAAAGUAGUGGCGAGCGAAAUGGGAUGAGCCUUGUACUCUUUAUUUGUAUUGUUAGCCGAACGCUCUGGAAAGUGCGGCCAUAGCAGGUGAUAGCCCUGUAGGCGAAAACAGUAUGAAAGAACUAGGUGUACGACAAGUAGGGCGGGACACGUGAAAUCCUGUCUGAAGAUGGGGGGACCAUCCUCCAAGGCUAAAUACUCGUGAUCGACCGAUAGUGAACCAGUACCGUGAGGGAAAGGCGAAAAGAACCCCGGGAGGGGAGUGAAAUAGAUCCUGAAACCGCAUGCAUACAAACAGUCGGAGCCUCGUAAGGGGUGACGGCGUACCUUUUGUAUAAUGGGUCAGCGACUUACGUUCAGUAGCAAGCUUAACCGUAUAGGGCAGGCGUAGCGAAAGCGAGUCCGAAUAGGGCGUUCAGUUGCUGGGCGUAGACCCGAAACCAGGUGAUCUAUCCAUGGCCAGGAUGAAGGUGCGGUAACACGUACUGGAGGUCCGAACCCACUAACGUUGAAAAGUUAGGGGAUGAGCUGUGGAUAGGGGUGAAAGGCUAAACAAACCUGGAAAUAGCUGGUUCUCUCCGAAAACUAUUUAGGUAGUGCCUCGUGUCUCACCUUCGGGGGUAGAGCACUGUCAUGGUUGGGGGGUCUAUUGCAGAUUACCCCGCCAUAGCAAACUCCGAAUACCGAAGAGUGCAAUCACGGGAGACAGACAUCGGGUGCUAACGUCCGGUGUCAAGAGGGAAACAACCCAGACCGCCAGCUAAGGUCCCCAAAUAUGGCUAAGUGGGAAACGAAGUGGGAAGGCUAAAACAGUCAGGAGGUUGGCUUAGAAGCAGCCACCCUUUAAAGAAAGCGUAAUAGCUCACUGAUCGAGUCGUCCUGCGCGGAAGAUGUAACGGGGCUAAGCCAUAUACCGAAGCUGCGGAUGCGUGCUUGCACGCAUGGUAGGAGAGCGUUCCGUAAGCCUGCGAAGGUGCCUUGUAAAGGGUGCUGGAGGUAUCGGAAGUGCGAAUGCUGACAUGAGUAGCGAUAAAGGGGGUGAAAGGCCCCCUCGCCGUAAGCCCAAGGUUUCCUACGCAACGUUCAUCGGCGUAGGGUGAGUCGGCCCCUAAGGCGAGGCAGAAAUGCGUAGCUGAUGGGAAGCAGGUCAAUAUUCCUGCACC
rnacentral:rRNA from 1 species